rnacentral:misc_RNA from 1 species
GCUCGUUUUGUCCAAGAGCUCUGCAAAAUACUCAUGCAGUCAUAACCUUUAAGUACUUGUAGAAAAAGUCCAACCUAUACAAAAUUUUUUCAAGUUCUACAAACUUUGAAGUGAGUUUGAAAUUGGCAUGAUCUCAUACAAUCUAAUUUAUAAUAAUCUAUUUCAUAUCUCAAGACUCUUCCCAGUAUCAACUUGUACUUCCUAUUCACUUUUGCAUGCAUAUUUAUACAUACACGUGAGAUUUUUCUAACCUGAAGGAAGACAUAGUAAUUCGAUAAAUAACUUAUUAUGAUCAAAGUAGGUUAGCAUUUAUAAUAUGUGGGGGCAUGUACAUUAUGUCAUUGUCCAUUAUAUUAUAUCAUGAAAAUAAUCACUUAAAUUUUGCCAACUUACUAUGACCAUUACUUCUUUAUGUUCCGUGCAACAGCAGUUCUAUUUUUUGUUGGAGAUCUCCUUUAGAAAAGUAAAGGACCCGCAGCCAAUAAAAGAAAAUUUCAACAUUUUAUUACUUGAUUUUGAGGAAAACAAAUUAGGGUAAGCAAAAGUUAACCUAAAAAUGCAAUUUAUCACCAUAAUAUGUUGAGCUGCAAAUGAGAGAAAGCAUAUCAAUACUAUUAUUCAUGCAAUGUCAUUAUCAUUAUGGAAGAAUACACACCAAUGACUUUCAUAUUAAAAUUUGUAAAGUAAUUAUGCAAUAACAACAGUAGUCUAAGGAUAUAUGAAGUAAAUGAUUUUCAAGCAGGCACUACAUGAGGAGUUCCUCUCACAUUUGAUCAGUUUCUCAAAUGAAAUGAGAGAAAGGAAAGUUAUUACCUGUCCCCUCCAACCAAAAGCAAGAAUAAAAAUGGAUACAUAUAGAAUGAAUUUCUUUCUUGAAUAUUUUAAAAGCAU